rnacentral:rRNA from 1 species
UGGGGAAUAUUGCACAAUGGGCGCAAGCCUGAUGCAGCGACGCCGCGUGGGGGAUGAAGGCCUUCGCGUUGUAAACUCCUUUCGCUAGGGACGAAGCCUAUGGUGACGGUACCUGGAGAAGAAGCACCGGCUAACUACGUGCCAGCAGCCGCGGUAAUACGUAGGGUGCGAGCGUUGUCCGGAAUUACUGGGCGUAAAGAGCUCGUAGGUGGUUUGUCGCGUCGUCUGUGAAAUCCCGGGGCUUAACUUCGGGCGUGCAGGCGAUACGGGCAUAACUUGAGUGCUGUAGGGGAGACUGGAAUUCCUGGUGUAGCGGUGAAAUGCGCAGAUAUCAGGAGGAACACCAAUGGCGAAGGCAGGUCUCUGGGCAGUAACUGACGCUGAGGAGCGAAAGCAUGGGUAGCGAACAGG